rnacentral:pre_miRNA from 2 species
AGCUUCUUUACAGUGUUGCCUUGUGGCAUGGCGAUCAAGCAGCAUUGUACAGGGCUAUCA